CUGGCGGCAGGCCUAAUACAUGCAAGUCGAGCGCGCCCUUCGGGGUGAGCGGCGGACGGGUGAGUAACGCGUGGGAAUAUGCCCUUCUCUAAGGAAUAGCCUCUGGAAACGGAGAGUAAUACCUUAUACGCCCUUCGGGGGAAAGAUUUAUCGGAGAAGGAUUAGCCCGCGUUAGAUUAGGUAGUUGGUGGGGUAAUGGCCUACCAAGCCUACGAUCUAUAGCUGGUUUGAGAGGAUGAUCAGCCACACUGGGACUGAGACACGGCCCAGACUCCUACGGGAGGCAGCAGUAGGGAAUCUUAGACAAUGGGGGCAACCCUGAUCUAGCCAUGCCGCGUGUGUGAUGAAGGCCCUAGGGUCGUAAAGCACUUUCGCCAGAGAUGAUAAUGACAGUAUCUGGUAAAGAAACCCCGGCUAACUCCGUGCCAGCAGCCGCGGUAAUACGGAGGGGGUUAGCGUUGUUCGGAAUUACUGGGCGUAAAGCGCACGUAGGCGGAUUAGUAAGUUAGAGGUGAAAUCCCAGGGCUCAACCCUGGAACUGCCUUUAAUACUGCUAGUCUUGAGUUCGAGAGAGGUAAGUGGAAUUCCGAGUGUAGAGGUGAAAUU
rnacentral:rRNA from 1 species